UCCUAUGGUAAAUGAAACAGGGCAGGGGGGUGAGGAGAAAGCUGCUCCUGUUUCUGUUUGAUGUUCAGUAAUUGUAUGCAGGAGAAUGGUGCUCCAGUUUCCUGACUUGUUCACCCCUUUUCCUUUGUCACCUUAACUCUCCUCCAGGGUACGUCGCAUUCUGAGAUUGAUACUUCUCGGUUGCCAUGACGGCAGCUAGCAGAACAAGCUACUGCUAAUAAGUCCGCUACAGAAGAUCUCUUGUGCCAAUCAACCAGUGAGACAGACAACGUGAAGCGUGGUCAGUACUUUUAUGGGGAGAAAAGGCCAGUGACCUUCACGCCUGGUGGGGAAAGCCAAGCUGGUCACCAUGGUGGAGAGGAAGUCGUGUGAAUCAGGCACUACUUGGUGAUGCCUCUGCCUUGUAUCAGAAGCUUUUUGGUGUAUACUCCUGGUGAGCACUUUUCAAAGGAAUGGCUAGUUUUAC